rnacentral:rRNA from 1 species
UACGGAGGGUGCAAGCGUUAUCCGGAUUCACUGGGUUUAAAGGGUGCGUAGGUGGGCAGGUAAGUCAGUGGUGAAAUCUCCGAGCCUAACUCGGAAACUGCCAUUGAUACUAUCUGUCUUGAAUUAUCUGGAGGUGAGCGGAAUAUGUCAUGUAGCGGUGAGAUGCUUAGAUAUGACAUAGAACACCAAUUGCGAAGGCAGCUCACUACGGAUAUAUUGACACUGAGGCACGAAAGCGUGGGGAUCAAACAGG